rnacentral:lncRNA from 1 species
UACGAUCGCUGAUUGUAUCUAGUUUUUCUAUUUUCUUCCUUUUCCUUCAAUUACAGCUCCAUCAUAUGAAGCGCUGGUAAGAGGAAUCUUUAUCGUCAUUGGACUGAUUCAUGUUGAUGCAGGAGAGAUUUCGCGGAAUAUGCAGAUGUAUGUUUCAAAAUAUUCGGAGACAGAGUUAAAUACUGGACAACCUUCAACGAGGCCAAUAUUUUCUCGAUGGCUGGUUAUGACCUCGGAUUCAUGCCGCCAAGCCGUUGCUCUUCUCCAUUUGGAUUCCUUAACUGCACCAGAGGAGAUUCGUUAUUGGAACCAUACUUGGCAGCUCACAAUAUCUUAUUGUCACAUGCAUCGGCCACCAGAUUGUAUUGGAAAAAGUACCAGGUAAAAGUUCGUGUUUCUUUUUUCCACUUAGUUGACUGUUUUAGGGCCUAUUUGGUAAUCAUCCUAACAGUGUCAGAUUCUGAUUUUUUGUUCCCGGGAGCAGUUUUGGAACAGAAUUAUGUUUGGUAAAACUUUUAUUCCUGGGAACAAAUUUCUAUUUUUUUUAUUCUCGGAAAUAGAUUUAGAAGAGAAUCAAGAAUAAAAAAAAUAUUGAUUCUUGUUCCCGAGUACAAAUCUAAGAAUCAAGUCAUUUUUUUCUUCUUCAUCUACUGUCACUGCCACGAUUGUUGUCCGCCGUUGUCCACCGCCGGUGGCCGGCAACCGGUCCGGCGAGCUUGCCAGAGGCUUGCCAGGCUAGGGCGAGGUUGGGCAAGCUUGCCAGAGGCAAGUCUAGCCACCGGCGAGGCUCGCCCAGCCUUGGCUUGGCCACCGGCAAGGCUAAGCCUCAGUGGGGCUGGGUGAGCCUUGCCCAACUGUCGGCAAUGCUCCAGUGAGGUCGCUAACCCCGGCGACCAGCCACUUGAAGAAGAAGAAUAGGAAAGAGAAAGAAAAAAACUAAUAAAAUUAUUUAAAAGUAAAAGAAAAUGAUUUGGAGUAGAAAUUUUGAGCACAGUACCAAACGCAAUUUUAUUCCAGAAUUAGAAAUUUUGGACAGUUGUCAAAUGGCUUAAAAUGCUUAGAAAUUUUUCCCGGGGACAAAAUAAAAAAAAAAAUCAUUUUUAAUUAGAAAUUGUUCCCGGGAACAAAAUGGUUACCAAACGCACCCUUAAGGUUAGGGAACUUUCCCUAAGUCAACCUCAGUAAGAAAAAAAACUGCUUUAGGAUUCAACCUAUACGAUAUAAUCUAAUUCAAUGUGAAAUUGUAUGCUGGCAAAAUAUCACAGUUUUUGUUUCUCUCAUAAUUUUAAGGAGAACCCAGUAAAAACAGAUAAUAUAUCAUGCCUAAUGAUCAUUUUUCUGUUUCCGUGUAUGCAGAACAUACAGAAGGGAUACAUAGGGCUUAACCUUCUGAGUUUCUACUCUGUUCCUUUCACAAACAAAACGGAAGACGUAAUUGCAGCUCGAAGGGUUACUGACUUUUUCAUGGGUUGGUGAGUGAUUGAUAUACGUGUGAUCUGUAUCUUCUUGCCUUUGAAAUCAAUCUAACUUGAACUGGGUGUUUGACCUCUGGAUUGCAUCAACGACCAUUAUCUAUGGAAAUCUCGGGAUACUAAUUUUGUUUGAGAAUGUCCAGUUCAUUAAGUAAUUUUGAACCUGCCCUACGGUUUGACUUUGUUUUUCUUCCGCAGUUUGUAGUUGUAAUCCAGUAGAAAUUCAAACUGAGUUUGGUGUUUUAUCUUUGUUGCAGGUUUGUGGAACCGCUGGUGUAUGGGGACUAUCCUGAGGUGAUGAAGAAUAAUGCAGGAUCAAGACUCCCUUCCUUCACUGCUCUCGAAUCUCAAAGAGUCAAGGGUUCAUUUGAUUUCUUUGCAGUCAAUUUCUACAGCGCAAACUAUGUCAAGGACAAUCCAGAAAGCCUGAACAUCGAACCGAGGGACUAUUUCACAGACAUGGCUGUACAGUGGAAAUGUAUGUGCUCUUUUACCAAUUCAAUCUUCACCCGUAGUGCCGACUUCGUCCAAACUUAGUAUCUCGAUCUCAUGGUGCUUUAAGCAUCACAUUUUAUUUAUAAAUGACCAUCUAUGCAUGCUAAACCUCAUUUAAUUGAGUAAAAUGUUUCUUGAGAAUUAUUGAUCAACAUUUUAAUUACCACAAAUUUACUUGAAAACUUCUCAUCUACUGAAGAGUCUAGUGGCUUUUCUCUUCCAUGGCAGAUAAGCAAGGAAAUGCAUCGUCAUUUAUGAAUAGAUUUCCGCCUUCAUUUGAGGUAAGUUGAUGCAGUGAAGUAUCAGUUAACUUUAUUGAGAAGUGAAAUUGCUGAUGCAUUUGUUUCAGUUUCCGCUUACUCCAUGGGGUCUGCAAGGCGUGCUGGAGUUAUUCAAGCAAAAUUAUGGAAACCCUCCCAUUUUUAUCUAUGAAAACGGUCUCUCUCUCUCUCUCUCUCUCUCUCUCUCUCUGUGUGUGGGCAGUUCAAAUAUGAUGUUGACUUCCAGCUUCCAACUUAAUAUGAGCACACCAGUUCAGACCAUGAGAUCUUUCUUUUCAUAGUCGACAAGUUGAAUUAAAAAAUGUGUAAGCAAAAUGGUUAAGUCAAGAGUUUAUAAACUUCAAUCAAGACAUGUAAAUUAUUUUGUCAGAGCAUUGUUCAAGGAGACUGGUUUGAUAGAGGAGUCAACCAUGGAGAGAAAAGGGCGAAGCUGGCAUUUACUGAAAGAAUAAGAAAUUAUAUUGUUUCGACAUUCCACUCAGGUUUCUGGAUUACAAUUCUUUCCCUGGAAUGUGGUUACACAAGUGGGAACUUUUGGUUGUCUCUUUGCAGGUCAAAGGAUGCAGAGAAACACGUCACUUGAGGACUGGCCGAGAAUUCAAUAUUUGCAGGAGCAUAUCAGUGUCCUGCUGGAUACAGUGAGGUACACAUCCUCUAUGCAUUGAGUCCAACACCGUAACUCUACAAUUCAAAUGUGCAUAUUUUUCUGACCUUUCUUCUUCCCUUUGACCUGUGAAGGAAUGGCUCGAAUGCGAAAGGCUACUUCACAUGGUCCCUCCUAGACGUGUUCGAGCUGUUGGAUGGGUACAGGUCGGGCUAUGGCCUGUACUAUGUGGACUUGGACGACCCUGAGCUGAGGAGGUACCCGAAGCUCUCAGCCAAGUGGUACUCACGCUUCCUGAAGGGAGGGAGCAUCACUCCGGACAGCAGCAUCGAGCUCGAUGGCAAUUGGUCCUCCCUCUCUUCUGCUCAAGCCAUGAGGUGAAAUUAAAUUCCUGGUUCCUUGAGGUGCGAGUCAUUUUCUUGGGUAGCUUCAUUCACGAUUCAGGUUCAACUCAAGUCAAGGAGCAUGUGAAUGUUCUCUCUUUUGUCCAGAAUUUUCCUAGUAUGUACUUCAUCAUGCUGUUGGGAAGAUUCACGGAUGGUGCGAGCUAUUUAGCGUGACUGUAAAUCUUUGAAUUUCCUGGUUCCAAAUGUCAGUCUUAGCAUAUGGAGAAUAGAUGAACGUACAUAAAAGAAUUGCUUUGCAAUUUAUUAGUAGGGGCCGUCGAGUGGUUUUGUAUCAUUAUAUCAGAUUCCAAGUCAAUCGUCCUUAUGCCUCGUCAUGCUUAAAUUUAUGUACGUAAUCUCACGCCCUCCUUGAAUGAGAUUGUCUUAUCGUAGUUCUAGGCAAGUUUCUAGCGUUCCACACUUAUGGUGAAGAAGAAUGUCGUGAAUUGCUAAGCAAAAAUAUGCACAGCGUCGCUUCGACUAGAGCCGUGGAUGCGCAGCGGGCCACGCCAACUUUAUUAUGGACGGCUGUGAUUUAGCUGAAAAAUUUCCUACAAUCCAAAAGGAAACAGACAGGACAAAAAUGACCAAGCAUUCUCCACCGCUGUUAUAAAGAACGAAAGCGUGCCGAUAUUUUCUUAUUUAUAUGCAUGGAGCCAGCGACGGUAAUGCGCAAGAAAGACGUCCAAGUCCUACGUGGCAUUGGACAAAAAACAAGAAGAAAAUCAGAAAAAUGAUGAGCAUCUCGCUCUCUGUCCUGCAAUUCAAAUCCCUCACUUCUCUUUUCGACCUCUACUUCAUGGUAAUUCCUUAAAUGCACAAGAGAACAAAAUCUCCUAAAAAGAAAAAGUAAAGGAAAGGGAAUAAUAGGCGUUGUAACCAGAGAAGGGAGGGACCACGGACGUGACACAAGUGCCCUUGGUGAUGUGUGACUGUGAUCUCCGAAAGAUACAGGACAGAGAAGAUGAUGGAGAAAUUGGGUAUCUUGUUGCAGCUUUUGGCGUUGGGUCGGGUGAUAGCAGAGGCCGUCUGCGGUGCUGAUGAGUUCAACAGAUAUGUCACUUCCCUCCUGGCUUUGUGUUUGGUGCAGGCACUUCAGCUUAUCAGGUCUGUGCUCGUUCCCUCUGUUUCAACGUGUGUGUGUUCAUGUAGAGAGAGAGAGAGAGAGAGAGAGAGAGAGAGAGUAAUUUGAUUGAAGCUGUGGAUUUGGAAGGUCGAUGGAGCAGCACAUGAAGAUGGGAGGACUCCGAGUAUAUUGGAUACCUGGACCCACUCUGACUCAGGCUAGCCUAUUUAUUUGUUACAUGAUCUUACUGUUGUAUUCAUAUGAUGGUCUUCUCUCACAUGAAUAAGCAAGUUGUUUUUUUUUAAUGCGCGUACGCCUCCUCUGUCAUUUUUAUUUAAUAUGGGCAGGAGAAUAUUUUGAAAUUAGGGGUGAGCAUCCCCUGGACCGAUCCUGGACCGGCCCAACCCUGCCGGUCCUGGUCCAGUCCCAGGGAAACUAGGUCAGUCAUUGGUUUUAGAAUUCCCAAACCAAUACUAUGCAAGUUAGUCUUUGAUCUUAAGAGUUCCAGGUCGGUCCAACGUGAAUCAACCGUGACUAUAUAUAUAAUUUUUUUAUAUAGAGAAAAUCUUAAAAUAAAUUGCAUCAACAACAUUAAACAGCUAUUUAGUAAAGAGUUCAACUAAUUUUACAUUAUUCUUUAAUAACUUAGGUUUUUAAUGUCAUUUACGGCAUCGAGAGUCAUAAUUUACGAAUGAAGAAAAUAUUUUUGCGAGAAGUCCUUACCGCGUCCGAAAAUGCACCUUAUGACAUCAUUCUCUAGUAUUCGUUCUCUUCUAUCUUAUUUGUCCUCUUAGUCUUCAAUUUUCCAAAAUUGAAAUAAACAAUUUUUCCGCUCGCCACUCGACACUCACCUCGCUCAUUUUGGGUCACUCGUGUUGCUCGUCGCUCGAUGCUCGUUUGGUCUCGCUCAUUUUGGGUCACUCAUGCUGUUUGUCGCUCGAUGCUCGUUUGGUUUGUUGCUCCUUGCUCGACAUUCGAUGUUCAUUCUAUUCAACACUCACCCGACUUGACCAUCAUUACUUGCCUUUUUUAACUGACCUCGCUCAUCAUUGAACACAUUGGGUCGAUACGAUUCUCGGUUGCCCUUUCAAGGAGUACAAAAAAUUAAAUAAAAAAUUAUUGGGUGGUAUUGGGUUGACCUUAAAAUCAAACCGAAUCCAUUGGGUCAGUCUGGUCUUCAAUCGUUUUUUUAAAAAGUACAAAAAAUAAAAUAAAAAUUAUCAAUUAGUUCCGGAUUGACCUUGGAACCGGAUCGAACCUAUUGGGUCGGUCCAGUUCUCGGUCCCAAGCUCAAUAGGGUUGGUCAUCAAUCCCAAAAAUUGAGGACUAGUAUUGUGUGGAUUGGUCCUAGGGUUAGGGGAUGGACCGGCCCAAUCCGGACCAUACUCACCCCUAUUUUGAAUGAUAUCGGGAAAUUUCACUCUGGGCCUCCAGGGUGAGGUGGAGAAGAUAUAGUGCUGCAAAAUUGAUGAUACAAUCAACUUGGGGUCUGAAAAUCCAUUGUGGGAUUGCCAAAUUUAAUUGCACCAUGAGCCUUGGCUGAUAAUAUUUUGUCAUAUCAAUGAAUUUUCUUGAUAAUUCAAGAAAAAGUACUCAGCUGAGCUCAGCUUUCAGCAAGUCGAACAUUUCAGGUUGAUAUUUGAAGUUUGAACACUGAACAGUGGAGUGGGAUCGCGUACUAUACUGAUUUAUAGGACUCGAGAAUAGUUGUGUUUUCUGAUCAUAAACUCCGAAAAAGGCGGGCAAUGGCUUGGCGAGUCUUUGACACAUGAAUCAUCUUUCCAGUUGGUUUUAUGCUUCGGUUUGGUGGAGUCCAACCGAACUCUGAAGUCCUUGCGGACAAGGCCGAACAUCUGAAGUAGCUGAAUUUCUUAAAGCAUUGAAAAGCAGUGAAAAGUAAAAUAGUUGUUCUGAUUCUUAACCAGGCUCCAUCUUGUUUCUGCUAAAAGCUCGGAAGUUCAUUACCGAGCAGGCCUAAAUUUUUAUGCGCAUGCUUUUAGCUCUCCUAAUUGUCUGGUUUUUCAUCUUGCCGGGAUUAUUACAGGCGGAGCCAAUGGAGAUAUCGCCUGUGAUCAAUAUCGCAAAUACAAGGUACUUACCAGUCAUCUCGUUACAAUUUGAUGUACAGUAUUUUCUCACUACGGUAGAUAGUCGUCAUGAGUAGUGACCGUCUAACGUAGAUUUGCUUCAGUUUGAGAUCAACCCACCAUCCCUGAAUCCUAUCUGAUCAAUGCGAUGCAGGAAGAUGUCCAACUCAUGGCAGAGAUGGGCUUAGACGCGUACCGGUUUUCCAUCUCAUGGUCGAGGCUCAUUCCAAGUAUGACCAAAAACCCAUUUAACUGUAGCUUUUCUUUUCCAAAUGGUGCAUCUGUUUCUGAUCUCUUCCACCAUAUGAUCGUAUUUCUUCCUUUAGAUGGGAGAGGCUCGGUGAAUCAGAAGGGAUUGCAAUACUACAACAACCUCAUCAAUGAACUAGUAAGCCAUAGUGACCUUAUAUGCAUACUAAUGUUAUUUUAUGCUCCAUGUGUUGUGCAGUUUUCCUAUCUAUUAGAGAAGGAACUACCUCCAAUGGACGGUAACAAAUUAAUUUUCACACGCAGGGAUUCAACCGCAGGUGAAACUACACCAUUUUGAUCUGCCACAGGCUCUUGAAUAUGAGUAUGGAGGAUGGAUAAGUCGAAAUAUUGUGUAAGAUCACUAAUCCCAUCGACUUUUUUUAUUUUCUUCUUGUUCCUUUGAUUACAGCUCCAUCAUAUGAAGUGCCGGUAAAAGAAAUCGUUAUCAUAAUGGGACUAAUUCAUGUUGAAGCAGGAAAGAUUUUGUGGAAUAUGCAGAUGUAUGUUUCAGAAUGUUCGGGGACAGAGUUAAAUACUGGACAACCUUCAACGAGGCCAA